GCAACAAUACCCAUUGAUUUUCCAAGUCGUUUACCCAGCACACUGAACUCUGGCUCUGCACGCAGAGAAGAAUACUUCAGAGUGUCAACACAUGGGACAAGAGAUCUUACAUUGAGUUCCUCCAGCACAUACUCCUUUAAUUUUCCAGCUAUAUCAUCAAGGAAGUCUGCAUCAGGAUGAACUACUAUCAUCUCCCUCAGUGGUGAUUUCAGAGGUUUGUUGUGCCGCUCACGGAUAUUACGUGCAAGAUCAAUAACAGUCAUCAUCCUUGAAACACUUCUUUCAAUUCUUUCAUCCCUCUCUCCCUCUUCUUGAGGAAAACUACAGUAGUGAAUGCUUUCCUCUGCUCCAGUAGAAACUUUCCGCAUGUUCUGAUAUAGGAC
rnacentral:misc_RNA from 1 species